rnacentral:rRNA from 1 species
UACGAACUGUGCAAACGUUAUUCGGAAUCACUGGGCUUACAGGGUGCGUAGGCGGCCUGACAAGUAGGGUGUGAAAGCCCCCGGCUCAACCGGGGAAUGGCGCCCUAAACUGUCGGGCUGGAGUGAGAUAGGGGUGUGCGGAACUUCCGGUGGAGCGGUGAAAUGUGUUGAUAUCGGAAGGAACGCCGGUGGCGAAAGCGGCACACUGGAUCUCAACUGACGCUGAGGCACGAAGGCCAGGGGAGCGAACGGG